rnacentral:rRNA from 1 species
UAGUAGCGGCGAGCGAACGGGGAGCAGCCCUUAAGCUGUUUAGAAUUUAGUGGAAUCCUUUGGGAAGAGGAGCGAUACAAGGUGAUAGCCCUGUACACGACGGAUUCUUUACAGUGAAAUCGAGUAGGUCGGGACACGUGUUAUCUUGACUGAAUGUGGGGGGACCAUCCUCCAAGGCUAAAUACUACUAACUGACCGAUAGUGAACCAGUACCGUGAGGGAAAGGCGAAAAGAACCCCUGUGAGGGGAGUGAAAUAGAACCUGAAACCGUAUGCGUACAAGCAGUAGGAGCAGACUUGUUCUGUGACUGCGUACCUUUUGUAUAAUGGGUCAGCGACUUAUGUUCAGUGGCGAGGUUAACCGUUUAGGGGAGCCGUAGGGAAACCGAGUCUGAAUAGGGCGAUUUAGUCGCUGGGCAUAGACCCGAAACCGGGCGAUCUAUCCAUGGCCAGGGUGAAGGUUAGGUAACACUGACUGGAGGCCCGAACCCACUUAUGUUGAAAAAUGAGGGGAUGAGCUGUGGAUUGGAGUGAAAGGCUAAACAAGCUCGGAGAUAGCUGGUUCUCCCCGAAAGCUAUUUAGGUAGCGCCUCGGACGAAUACCACAGGGGGUAGAGCACUGUUUCGGCUAGGGGGUCAUCCCGACUUACCAACCCGAUGCAAACUCCGAAUACCUGUGAGUACUAUCCGGGAGACACACGGCGGGUGCUAACGUCCGUCGUGAAGAGGGAAACAACCCAGACCGCCAGCUAAGGUCCCCAAGUACCAGUUAAGUGGGAAACGAUGUGGGAAGGCUCAGACAGCUAGGAGGUUGGCUUAGAAGCAGCCAUCCUUUAAAGAUAGCGUAACAGCUCACUGGUCUAAAUAAGUUAUCCUGCGGCGAAGAUGUAACGGGGCUCAAGCCAUGAGCCGAAGCUUAGGAUGCCGUAAGGCAUGGUAGCAGAGCGUAGUGUG